GUUGAAUUUCUGAUGGUUUUGAUCUUAUUGAUAACCAGAAAGUUAAAAUGAGAAAGAAGAGAUAUCCAAAAACUUUAUUGAGCAUUUUAUUGAAGGUUAUUUCAUCUGAUUUAAACUCCAUUGCAAAAGAUAGUUGUUGCCAUGAAUGUUCCGUUCGCGAAACAUAAGGAUAUAACCAAAUCUUAUAACAAGGAUCGUUUCGAGUGGAUGAUUAUAGGACGUGAUUAUUACAGGGCGUAAUAAGAAACAUAAAAUAGAACAAAGGUAGCUAAGCUUUAGAAUUGUCUACAUGAGUGAAUGACUCUUAUUGUACAUAAUUCUAAUGCUUAGUUAUCUGAGUUCUAUUUUAUGCCUCUGUAAACUGGAACAAUCGUAAUUAGGCAUGUGAGUUAUCUAAAGUUGUAUAUUGGGUAGCAACGAUGUAAACAAUAACGUAUUUGUCUAUUGAUAUUAUGUAGGAAGAAAAAAUUUAAAGCUAUAAAGUAUAAUUUUUACAACAUAAAUUAAAGCAUACACUACAUAUCAUACACUAUAUUGUAAUGUUAAGGGGCGGAUCAUUUGAUUUUUUUUGGGGGGGGGGGCGGGUUGAAAGAUUUCGAAAAAACAUUUCCUGCAAUCCAAAGAGAAAGAAAAAAAAAUCAUGCAGGAUACAAUCGAGAAAAAAAAUAUCAUGCAAAAGAGAGUGCUCAAAAAAAAAUUCCUACAUGUAAAUCUACUGACGUUUUUCACUUCAGUAUUGUGUCCUGCACAGGCUUGCAAGAUUUUGCGUUUUUGAGCAGGCACAUUUGCUUAAAAGAACACGGGGUGAACAGUGGACAACAUCACAGGGAUUCUACCGCCUUUGGAGUCUAUAACAUACAAUAGCCAGUGGCGUUCCCUGGCAAAAUUGUUGCCCCCCCCCCCUGAGAAAAUCUGGGCUUAAGAUAUGUACAAGUUUAUAAGUUAUUUAUACAUAUCUACUAUGCAUGAUAGAAAAAGUAUUUUUGAAUGGUUGAGUCUGUGUGCGUUUUUUGAUAACAUAGCUCCAAACUAUUAAAGCUUCAAAGGCCCAUCAACAGGAUGCAAGUUGAACGUACUGUAUAUACGAUGAUUUUAAUGCGAAAAUGCCAGUUUAGAGAGUCUAGACUUUAAAAAAUUUCUGAAGAGGAUGCAACCUGAUCCACAAGAAGCUAUCUGUAUGAACGAUUGAAAAGCUACAGAGCUAUAUUUGGUGGAACAUUGUUGUUUCGGAUGGCAGUUAAAAAUCGCAUUACUGAAAGGCCUGAAAUCUUGUUUUAUUACAUAUUAAUCAAAGCUCAUUUUGUGAUUUUCCCUUGUUUAAAAUAAAGGACAGUAAGUGUUCCUUAGGCUUAGUACAGCAAAGUUGUUGCACGAAUCCAUGGCUGAAAACGCAGGAAAUAGCAUUUCCGAGGUUCAAAUUUUAAAAUUUUCUCGGGGGAGCAUGCCCCCGAACCCCCAAGGUUACAGGUCAUUCAUAUAAUGUACCUCCCCCAUUUUCGAGUACUCUACUCUAUCCCUGCAUGUUUUAGGUUUUGGUGCAGUUAUACAUUUUUUGUAAUAAACCUGCACGUUUUAGUGUGGGGAACAUUAAGACAUAACCAUAUAAAAUAAAGCACAGUGAAAAUUCCUUGGCCCCUCUUGGGAUUCAGUUCUCGACCUCCUUUGAUUGAAAACCCCGGCUACGUCUCUGACGAUAGCUAUAUGAAAGCCUUAAGUUACUGCCAGCCGUUAUUAUUAGACGCAAAAAAAAUAUCCUGCCGCCAAAUAUAUUGGGAAAAAAAUAUCUUGCGCUGCACUUUUACAGGAAAAAAUAUCUGUCUUGUUCCCCUGGGCGGAAAAAAUUCUUGCACAGUCUGAAUCUUCCAAUCCCCCCUCCCCCUCCCCUCAAAAAUCAAAUGGUCCGCCCCUAAUGAUUAUAAUGUUAAUGUUACAUUCCCAAGUUACUGUAGGACAUUAUGAUAACGAGUUUUACGAAAAUUUGUAUUUAGUUCACUGGACUAUUGACCUGACAAAAGAGGGACGAAAGUUGGUUAUUUCUUCUGCCAAUAUACCUUUAAUAUGCAUAAUGACGUCACAAGGCUUGAUGCCGCGAGGAAUGCUGGUCUUUGUAGUCAUUGCCCGGAAAAUUUUGAUAGUGGGCAUUUUGAAUUGUUUAAUUUUCCCGGGCGAUGAUUACUAAGACCAGCGUUCGUAGCGGGCAUCAAGCCUUGUGACCAGGGGCGCCGGAGCCACGGGGGCAGCUGCCCCCGUUGCCUAAACAGUGCGGGGGCAGCACGGGGGCAGCAGGUUGCCUAUUUUACAAGAACUGCACUUCGAACGUCGUGCGUUUUUCACAUGAAUUGAGAUUGAAAACUGUUUUUAAACAAUUUAACUCAUAUACAUAUUUGAAUCUGAAUUCCUCUCAGAAACGUUACCAAUCAGUUUCCACCUAUGAAAAAAAGUGAAAAAGAAAGCCUUCCUAAAUAACUGACAACUGCCAUGUUGCUUUACAAUACAUUUUAGUCUUUAGUGUCAUGCAACGAAUAAAAAUGUUCCAAUCCAUGCCGAAAUUUGUCUAACUGUAUUAGCUAUACAAGUAAUGAAGUCUCCGUUAUACAGCAAAAUGUUAACGAACAUUGCCC